rnacentral:rRNA from 1 species
AUUGAACGCUGGCGGCAUGCCUUACACAUGCAAGUCGAACGGCAGCACGGGAGCAAUCCUGGUGGCGAGUGGCGAACGGGUGAGUAAUAUAUCGGAACGUGCCCAGUCGUGGGGGAUAACGCAGCGAAAGCUGUGCUAAUACCGCAUACGAUCUCUGGAUGAAAGCGGGGGACCGUAAGGCCUCGCGCGAUUGGAGCGGCCGAUAUCAGAUUAGCUAGUUGGUGGGGUAAAGGCCCACCAAGGCGACGAUCAGUAGCUGGUCUGAGAGGACGACCAGCCACACUGGAACGGAGACACGGUCCAGACUCCUACGGGAGGCAGCAGUGGGGAAUUUUGGACAAUGGGCGCAAGCCUGAUCCAGCAAUGCCGCGUGCAGGAUGAAGGCCUUCGGGUUGUAAACUGCUUUUGUACGGAACGAAACGGCGAGCUCUAAUAAAGUUUGCUAAUGACGGUACCGUAAGAAUAAGCACCGGCUAACUACGUGCCAGCCGCCGCAGUAA